UACGUAGGUGGCAAGCGUUGUCCGGAUUUACUGGGCGUAAAGAGCGCGCAGGCGGCCGGAUAAGUCGAAUGUGAAAGCCCCCGGCUCAACUGGGGAGGGUCAUUCGAUACUGUUCGACUCGAAGGCAGUAGAGGGAAGUGGAAUUCCCGGUGUAGUGGUGAAAUGCGUAGAUAUCGAGAGGAACACCUGCGGCGAAGGCGGGUUGCUGGGCUGACACUGACGCUGAUGCGCGAAAGCUAGGGGAGCGAACGGG
rnacentral:rRNA from 1 species